rnacentral:hammerhead_ribozyme from 1 species
ACCCAGCUGAUGAGUUCCAAUUAGGACGAAACCCACGUCCUGAAU